rnacentral:rRNA from 1 species
UUCUGGUUGAUCCUGCCGGAGGCUACCGCUAUUGGAGUUCGAUUAAGCCAUGCGAGUCGCGAGACUUAGAAUCUCGGCGUACCGCUCAGUAACACGUGGGUAACCUGCCCUAUGCUAGGGGAUAACCUCGGGAAACUGAGAAUAAUACCCUAUAGUUCACCACGCCUGGAACGGUGGGUGGAUGAAAGCUCCGGCGGCAUAGGAUGGGCCUGCGGCGUAUCAGGUUGUAGGGGGUGUAAUGUACCCUCUAGCCAUCUACGCGUACGGGUGUUGGGAGACAUCGCCCGGAGAUGGAUUCUGAGACACGAAUCCAGACCCUACGGGGUGCAGCAGGCGCGAAAACUUGGCAAUGCGAGAAAUCGUGACCAGGGAACUCCAAGUGCAUCGGGUAAUACCGAUGCUUUUCUUGACUCUUCAAAGGUCUUGGAAUAAGGGGUGGGUAAGGACGGUGCCAGCCGCCGCGGUAAUACCGGCGCCCCAAGUGGUAGUCGCUUUUAUUGGGCCUAAAACGUCCGUAGCCGGUUUGGUACAUUCGUGGGUAAAUCAAGGCGCUCAACGUCUUGAAUUCUGCGAGCACGGCCAGACUUGGGACCGGGUGAGGUGUGGGGUACUCUCAGGGUAGGGGUAAAAUCCUGUCAUCCUGAGAGGACCACCUGUUGCGAAGGCGCCACACUAGAACGGAUCCGACGGUCAGGGACGA